rnacentral:rRNA from 1 species
GAUGAACGCUGGCGGCGUGCCUAAUACAUGCGAGUCGAGCGAACGGACGAGAAGCUUGCUUCUCUGAUGUUAGCGGCGGACGGGUGAGUAACACGUGGAUAACCUACCUAUAAGACUGGGAUAACUUCGGGAAACCGGAGCUAAUACCGGAUAAUAUUUUGAACCGCAUGGUUCAAAAGUGAAAGACGGUCUUGCUGUCACUUAUAGAUGGAUCCGCGCUGCAUUAGCUAGUUGGUAAGGUAACGGCUUACCAAGGCAACGAUGCAUAGCCGACCUGGGAGGGUGAUCGGCCACACUGGAACUGAGACACGGUCCAGACUCCUACGGGAGGCAGCAGUAGGGAAUCUUCCGCAAUGGGCGAAAGCCUGACGGAGCAACGCCGCGUGAGUGAUGAAGGUCUUCGGAUCGUAAAACUCUGUUAUUAGGGAAGAACAUAUGUGUAAGUAACUGUGCACAUCUUGACGGUACCUAAUCAGAAAGCCACGGCUAACUACGUG